GAGAAUGCCUCCUCAACAGGACUCUUUUUGGAUUAGAGCUCAAGCCACUCACUGGCCCCAUCCCCAUUGUUGGCUCUAUGAACCACAGCAAUUGUGUCCAGCAGCAAAAGCCAUCCAAGGUGGAGUUGAGACAUCCCUGAGGCCCUGCAUCUGCAUGAGUGGAUGUCUCCACACCUCAAGAGGCAAGCACAGAGAUUCCAGAGACUUGCCCAAGGUCACACAGCAGUAAGUGCCAAAGUGAAGGUUGGAAUUUGGGUCUGCCUCCAUAGCCUGUAAUUUUGUCACUGUGCUGGCUGGAUUUAAAAGAGCAUUUCCCCAUAUUAGAUGUCAAGGCUGGUGAUGGUGAGGCAAAUUACACAGGUUGGGAGGCAAAGGGGAGUUAGUUGCUAAUCCAACUCCAGUACUCAAAAGUGUGUCCCAGACCAUCCUCUUCAACAGCACCUGGGAACUUGUUGAAAAUGCAGAAACCCAGGCCUCACCCCAGGCCUAUAGAAUGAGAAUCUGUAUCCUAACACCCCCCACCCCAGGGAACUGGCAUGCACUUUAACAUUUGAGAAGCUAAAUUUGAGAACCUUAGAACUGGUUCUCAAAUUUAGCUACACAUUGGUAUCACUUAGAAAGUUUUAACUACUGAUAUGUAGUCCCACUCCCCAGCUGUUCUGACAGGUCCAGGGUGCAGCUUGGAUACUGGGAUUUUUAAAUACUCCCUCGGGUGAUUCUAAAGUGUGGCCACAUUUGAGAACUAUUGUCCUACAGC
rnacentral:lncRNA from 10 species